GUCUUCGUGGGGUAGUGUAAUCUAUUCCCAUCCCAUAUGCUGGGAUAGUAAAUACGGGGGAGACGGUGGUUCGAAUCCACUCGGGGACA